UACGAAGGGGGCUAGCGUUGCUCGGAAUCACUGGGCGUAAAGCGCACGUAGGCGGAUCUUUAAGUCAGGGGUGAAAUCCCAAGGCUCAACCUUGGAACUGCCUUUGAUACUGGGGAUCUCGAGUCCGGAAGAGGUGAGUGGAACUGCGAGUGUAGAGGUGAAAUUCGUAGAUAUUCGCAAGAACACCAGUGGCGAAGGCGGCUCACUGGUCCGGUACUGACGCUGAGACGCGAAAGCGUGGGGAGCGAACAGG
rnacentral:rRNA from 1 species